rnacentral:rRNA from 1 species
GUGUCAGCCGCCGCGGUAAUACGGAGGGUGCAAGCGUUAUUCGGAAUCACUGGGCGUAAAGGACACGUAGGCGGAUUGGGAAGUCAGAUGUGAAAUCCUACAGCUUAACUGUAGAACUGCAUUUGAAACUUCUAAUCUAGAGUAUGGGAGGGGGAGAUGGAAUUAGUGGUGUAGGGGUAAAAUCCGUAGAUAUCACUAGGGAAUACCUAAAGCGAAGGCGAUCUCCUGGAACAAUACUGACGCUAAGGCGUGAAAGCGUGGGGAGCAAACGGGAUUAGAUACCCCGGUAGUCCACGCCCUAAACGAUGUUCACUAGUCGUCGGAAUGCUAGUCAUUUCGGUGAUGCACUUAACAGAUUAAGUGAACCGCCUGGGGAUACGGUCGCAAGGUUAAAACUCAAAGGAAUUGGCGG